UACAGAGGUCCCAAGCGUUGUUCGGAUUCACUGGGCGUAAAGGGUGCGUAGGCGGUUUGGUAAGUCUCGUGUGAAAUCUACAGGCUCAACUUGUAGUCUGCACGAGAAACUGCCGGGCUUGAGUAUGGGAGAGGUGAGUGGAAUUCCUGGUGUAGCGGUGAAAUGCGUAGAUAUCAGGAGGAACACCUGUGGCGAAAGCGGCUCACUGGACCAUAACUGACGCUGAUGCACGAAAGCUAGGGGAGCAAACAGG
rnacentral:rRNA from 1 species